rnacentral:misc_RNA from 1 species
UUUCCGUAGGUGAACCUGCGGAAGGAUCAUUAACGAGUUUACUGAGUUGUCGCUGCCCUUUCGGGGGAUGUGCACGCUCUUUCACUCAUCUAUACACCUGUGAACCUAUGCGAGUCAAUGGGGGAUUAGCGAAAGAGAGCCGAAAGGUUUUUCGAUUAGCGUUCUCUGCUGGCUCGAUUUUUAUAAACUCUUGUAUGUCUUAGAAUGUCUACUUUGCUUAACGCAAUAAAUACAACUUUCAACAACGGAUCUCUUGGCUCUCGCAUCGAUGAAGAACGCAGC